rfam:Nematostella vectensis strain CH2 x CH6 NEMVEscaffold_251_Cont20869, whole genome shotgun sequence.
GACUCCGUGGCGUAAUGGUAGCGCGUCUGACUCCAGAUCAAAAGGUUGCGUUUUCAAAUCACGUCGGGGUCA